UCGAUCUACAGAAUUCAAAGACAUAUGCUUGCAUUUUUAUGUAAAAUCUGAUAACGCACUAUGGAUGUUCAAAAUUACAAACUGUUUAUGGCAGAAUGGGAAAGCUGGUGCAGUGCUGAAACCAGGACAGAUGUUUAGGGCCAAGAGCAGUGUAUGAGUCCCCCGCCCAGAGCGUGAGCACACGUGUAACCACUAGUGAACAUCAAUAUGGACUGUCUUGUGAGGAGGAUGAAGUCAAGGGGCAACACCUAGACAAAAGGCCAUCAGUACAGAGGAAAAGCACCUGGACGGAGUGAGAUCGGGGGGCCAGCUCCUGGGCCAGGACCUGGAAGCCUGUGGAAACAUGUUGGUGUUUCUGUGUAUGCCAAUGAAGACACUUGCCUCUCUCCUUGUUAGCCUUUGUAUGCAUAUGUGUUUGUACGUAUUGGCACCUUUGGAAUACAUGCUUAGCUGUGCUGUCAGCUGGACAUACAAAUAGGAGCAACACCAGAAAUCCCUUUAAUCUUAGAGACUUCUAGAUUGCACUUUCCUUUAAGAGGACUGGAAAAUUGUUCAGUUUUUCAAAUACAUACCUCCUUCUCUUCUCACAGAUCCAUGCCACUACCCCCACUUACUCUAGCCUGCAGAGCCAGAUAAGCACACUCUUACUUAGUAGCACUGACACAGAAAUUACAGGAUGGAGUUAUACUUUACGCACAGGAUAAAACAAGAUAAUCCAAGAGAAAUUCCUGAUUUGAUAAAUAUAUGAGUA